UCUUCAGCGUCCCUCUUCUACUUCCCCUUUCUUCAUAAUCCCUCCAUUAAAUUUCAUCCCUCCACUAAACUAUCCCCUUUUUUUCUUGUAUUUCCAGAUUUUUUUUCCCAAUAUGGAGUAUAAAAUCUCCCAUCAUGCCAAAACUUCAGAAUAACAUCAUCAAGCACACCCGAUUUCACGAUAACGUGCAAUUACAACGAGUCAAUAUUAACUGGAGCAGAUUGAUCGUGAAAGAUCGCAAUUCAAGAUGAAGGAGCUCACAUGUUAUCGUAUAGUCUUUUAUGACAGUUUAAUACUUUUCAGUUGUAAAUAGACCACCUAGUAAUCAAGUUGUAAUAGUUUAAGUUUUGUAAGCCUUAGCACUUGACAAUGUGGUCAAGUGUGGCGGUGAUGCCUCCGAUUUAGGUGUAAGCUUCCGCAAAUUUAUUAUAAAGUCUUUUAUAUUCUUAUU